rnacentral:sRNA from 1 species
GGAUUUAAAAAGGUAGUCUCACGCGAACAGAUGUAAACAGCCGGCCAGAUUUUUAUGCCGAGUCCGAACGGCCUAUGGCAAAGCGAUAUCAUUUGGAAGAGAAGUUUUAACAUAACAUAACAGGAUGACAAGUGUUGUCAACAUUAGUAAGGGGAUAACCACCGCUGAAAAAAUUUCUGAUAUUUAUGCCAGUAUUUUAGCCUAGGCGUCCGGCGUCGUAGGCGGGCAAGCUUGCCACUGCGACCUCCAAUGUGUUACAAACGGAAUGUGUUAUAAAUGUACUGUAAGCUCUGGCAACCCUGCUCAUGGCUGGGUAACGGUUUUUUGAGGAAAAAAACAACAAAGCCAACUGAACGACCAGCAAUUAUUUUUCAUUGAGAAUCUUUUGAGCUGGCACGCAAGAAAAACCCAAUUCUCCAAAAAAAAUGAGCAAUUCAAUGGGUUCAAAAUCCAAAAGCCGAGGACGUCCUUCUAAGAAAUCCGCCACCAAAGUGGAAAGAAACUCACAGCCUCCCAUCCAAAAUGCGGAAAAAAAUUUGGAAACCGAGUGGUUGGUAUUUGACAAGAAGGAAGAAGAUCCUUGUGAUUGCCCAUAUGAUAACUGUCCAGGAUGCUGGUAUCCGUGUUCCACUUGCGGAAGCAAAAAAUGCUCGCCAUUUUGUCGACGCAAUAGAAAAGAAUCAAGUUGGGAGCAGCAGCACAUCGAAUGGAGAAAGGUCUUCUGAACAUUUCUGUACAUACAUACAUAUGUACAUACCUACAUCCUAAGAUAACUCCCUAUGUUUUUUUAAAUGAAAUGAAUUGGACUUUAUUUUGUUUUCUCUUUUUUGUAUAAAUAAUCUAAAUAGUAAUAAAUAACAUACUCUAAA